AUAAAAUUCCUGGAAGAAUCUUAAAAGGAAAAUAAAAUGAACUAGAUUCCAGGAUAAAAAUCAAGAUUUGCAAACAACAGACCACAUAAAAAAGACAUUAAAAAAAGAAACCAAGGAAAUCAAAUAAAAGGAGCAAUUACUAUGAUGCAGAAGAGGGAGGUGCCGUAUGAGUCUUCAGAUCUGGCUCCAGCCUGUUGACUGGUUUUGAAACCAAUUACUAAUCUUUAUAUGUUUCUUUUUGUUUGUGUGGCAGUACUAAUCCAUAAUGAAUCUGCAGUUUUUCCUACUGUACUUACAAGAAGUAGCAUAGCAUCUGGUUGGCGUGAGGGUUUAUGAGGUCUCUCUCUUCUUUUCCCAGAAUGUGGAGCUCUCACGCCUUCUCCCCCGAGCUGAAGUCACUACUGGAGGGCCUGGUACAGCGUGAAGUGGGCAAGCGGCUGGGCUGCCAUGGAGGCAGGAGAUACUUUUUGCAAAGUCUCUGUUGUAUUUCCAAAUGCGUGCUCACCACUUUGAGAACUUCUUCUUCACCAGCGCACAGGAAGUAAAAGAGCACAGCUUCUUCAAGGGCGUCGACUGGCAGCACAUCUAUCUACAAAAGUAUCCACCCCUGCUAAUUCCUCCCUGGGGAGAAGUCGAUGCUAUGGAUGCUUUUGAUAUUGGCUCAUUUGAUGAAGAGGAUACUAAAGGCAUUAAGAUUAUACCCUGGGCAAGGACUACAUCAUGCACGGGCACAUGCUGAAGCUGGGCAACCCCUUCCUUACGCAGUGCAGCACCACUACUCCUACCUCUUCCCAAACAGGCUUGAGUGGAGAGGAGAAGGCGAGUCACGGGUGAGUCCCAGGGGGGUGCGCCCAGCGCUGCUUCCAGCAUGUUCCGUGACCUCAUGUUGCCAACAUGUUUUCCAAAGCAUCUCCCUAAGGCCUGUGUAUCUCAAUGUAUAUCACAAGAUUGCAGCAUUCAAACUUUCACUGUUAAACAUCCAGGUCCACAUCAGAGAAGGGCUAUGUAGUCUCUGA
rnacentral:lncRNA from 1 species